UACGUAGGGUGCGGGCGUUGUCCGGAAUUACUGGGCGUAAAGAGCUCGUAGGUGGUUUGUCGCGUUGUUCGUGAAAACUCACAGCUCAACUGUGGGCGUGCGGGCGAUACGGGCAGACUAGAGUACUGCAGGGGAGACUGGAAUUCCUGGUGUAGCGGUGAAAUGCGUAGAUAUCAUGAGGAAGACCAGUGGCGAAGGCGGGUCUCUGGACAGUUCCUGACACUGAGGCACGAAGGCCAGGGGAGCAAACGGG
rnacentral:rRNA from 1 species